UACGUAGGGCGCAAGCGUUGUCCGGAUUUAUUGGGCGUAAAGAGCUCGUAGGCGGUCUGUCGCGUCGGAUGUGAAAACCCGGAACUCAACUCCGGGCCUGCAUUCGAUACGGGCAGACUUGAGUACUGCAGGGGAGACUGGAAUUCCUGGUGUAGCGGUGGAAUGCGCAGAUAUCAGGAGGAACACCGGUGGCGAAGGCGGGUCUCUGGGCAGAAACUGACGCUGAGGAGCGAAAGCGUGGGGAGCGAACAGG
rnacentral:rRNA from 1 species